rnacentral:rRNA from 1 species
GAUGAACGCUGGCGGCGUGCUUAACACAUGCAAGUCGAACGGUGAAAGCGGAGCUUGCUCUGCUGGAUCAGUGGCGAACGGGUGAGUAACACGUGAGCAAUCUGCCCCUGACUCUGGGAUAAGCGCUGGAAACGGCGUCUAAUACCGGAUACGAGCUGCGAAGGCAUCUUCAGCAGCUGGAAAGAACUUCGGUCAGGGAUGAGCUCGCGGCCUAUCAGCUAGUUGGUGAGGUAACGGCUCACCAAGGCGUCGACGGGUAGCCGGCCUGGGAGGGUGACCGGCCACACUGGGACUGGGACACGGCCCAGACUCCGACGGGAGGCAGCAGUGGGGAAUAUUGCACAAUGGGCGAAAGCCUGAUGCAGCAACGCCGCGUGAGGGACGACGGCCUUCGGGUUGUAAACCUCUUUUAGCAGGGAAGAAGCGAAAGUGACGGUACCUGCAGAAAAAGCGCCGGCUAACUACGUGCCAGCCGCCGCCGUAA